GCCAGGCAUGGUGGCACAUGCCUAUAAUCCUAGUAACUUGGGAGGCUGAGGCAGGUGGAUCACAAGUUGGAGGCCAGCCUCAGCAACUUGGUAAGACCCUGUCUCAA
rnacentral:sRNA from 1 species